rnacentral:lncRNA from 1 species
CAAAAUUCUGCAUUUUUUCACCAUUUAAUGUCUUCUGGAUCUCUGGUUUUGAUUCCUUUAAAAUUCAAACGCUCCGAAUUUGACACACAAUAAUUAUAUCAUAUUAAACAUGUUAAUUUCACAUAUAUUAACAACCUGAAUCAUAUAAUUAUACACACAGUUCAUUCAUCACUUUCAUUAAAUUUAUGUUCAUGCUCAAAGCUUUAAAAUUCCAACGAUGACAUAAAGUCAUACUCAUAAAUAGAACCUUACACCCAUGCAUUCAGUCACAAAAAUCACAUAACACAAUCAAUCAUCAAUUUUCAGAUUUUCUCACAACAACGACAAAUCAUAAUAGAAUCUACACAAUUCCUAAUGAGAGUAAGAAUAUCUCUUUUCUAUCCUAUCAUGCAAUACACCUAUAGUGAAAG